CUGGUAACUAGUGCUGGGUGUUGGGAAAAAGGCUGUUCUGGGGAGAUAUUUUGGUGGGUGAAGGUAAAUAAAGGAGUCAAAAGUGAAAAUGAGAGAAGGAGAUGGAGUUUCCAGCCUUAUGAAUUAAGUUGUGUGCAUCUGUAACCGAAGGAGGCCUGUCUCAGUGGCAGCAAUAGUUCUUUUGGUCCUGGAGAACUCUUCCUCUUGACAGAGGUCUACAAACAGAUUUGCAAAGCCAAAAAGAGAAAUUGCCCUCUCUCAUGCAGCAUUCAACUUUCCAUUUUCUUCUGGUUCUUGAAUGUAGAAUUGCAUUUUAUUUUAUUCACUUGGAAAUCCUGCUCUUUAAAAUGAAGAGCCAUUCAAAACACAUAAAAGAUCCUGUGAGACACAUAAGUGUUUUUAGCUGCAAGCAAUUUUACUGAAAGACUGGAGAAGAGAUGUGGCACAUUCCUUGUAUGAAAUGUUGUAUAAAGAUAUUAAGGAUGUGUGUCCAUACUGCUGAAUAAAAGGACGACAAAAUGCCAAAAAA